rnacentral:rRNA from 1 species
UCGGGUUGUAAAGCACUUUUGUCCGGAAAGAAAACGCGUGCCCUAAUACGGUGUGUGGAUGACGGUACCGGAAGAAUAAGCACCGGCAACUACGUGCCAGCAGCCGCGGUAAUACGUAGGGUGCGAGCGUUAAUCGGAAUUACUGGGCGUAAAGCGUGCGCAGGCGGUUUGCUAAGACCGAUGUGAAAUCCCCGGGCUUAACCUGGGAACUGCAUUGGUGACUGGCAGGCUAGAGUAUGGCAGAGGGGGGUAGAAUUCCACGUGUAGCAGUGAAAUGCGUAGAGAUGUGGAGGAAUACCGAUGGCGAAGGCAGCCCCCUGGGCCAAUACUGACGCUCAUGCACGAAAGCGUGGGGAGCAAACAGGAUUAGAUACCCUGGUAGUCCACGCCCUAAACGAUGUCAACUAGUUGUUGGGGAUUCAUUUCCUUAGUAACGUAGCUAACGCGUGAAGUUGACCGCCUGGGGAGUACGGUCGCAAGAUUAAAACUCAAAGGAAUUGACGGGGACCCGCACAAGCGGUGGAUGAUGUGGAUUAAUUCGAUGCAACGCGAAAAACCUUACCUACCCUUGACAUGGACGGAAGGCCGCUG